GGACGAAAGUCUGACGGAGCAACGCCGCGUGAGUGAUGACGGCCUUCGGGUUGUAAAGCUCUGUUAAUCGGGACGAAAGGCCUUCUUGCGAAUAGUUAGAAGGAUUGACGGUACCGGAAUAGAAAGCCACGGCUAACUACGUGCCAGCAGCCGCGGUAAUACGUAGGUGGCAAGCGUUGUCCGGAAUUAUUGGGCGUAAAGCGCGCGCAGGCGGAUUGGUCAGUCUGUCUUAAAAGUUCGGGGCUUAACCCCGUGAUGGGAUGGAAACUGCCAAUCUAGAGUAUCGGAGAGGAAAGUGGAAUUCCUAGUGUAGCGGUGAAAUGCGUAGAUAUUAGGAAGAACACC
rnacentral:rRNA from 1 species